UACGUAGGGUGCAAGCGUUAUCCGGAAUUAUUAGGCGUAAAGAGCUCGUAGGCGGUUUGUCGCGUCUGCUGUGAAAACUGGGGGCUCAACCCCCAGCCUGCAGUGGGUACGGGCAGACUAGAGUGCGGUAGGGGAGAUUGGAAUUCCUGGUGUAGCGGUGGAAUGCGCAGAUAUCAGGAGGAACACCGAUGGCGAAGGCAGAUCUCUGGGCCGUAACUGACGCUGAGGAGCGAAAGCAUGGGGAGCGAACAGG
rnacentral:rRNA from 1 species